GAGAGAAACAGGAGAGACCCAGACCACCCAGGAGUGUGACAAAAUAUUCCUGCUCACGCACAAAAGCUCCAUUAGCUUGAAGUUCCAGGAGAUGAGCUACAAAUUACUGACAACCUGGUACAGGACCCUUCAUAUGUUACAUCGUAUGGAUACAGGUAAAGAGGAGACGUGCUGGCGGUGCGGAGAGGAAAGAGGUACUAUGAUCCACGUCUGGUGGUCCUGCACGGCAAUCACUCCCUUCUGGGAGAUGGUACAUACUAAAAUCAGAGAAAUUUCAGAUCCAGCUCCUGCCCCUGCCCAUGUUACUACACCACACAAGCAUGUCGCUAAAAACCUACAAGAAGUCCCUGACAAAACAUCUGACGGCAGCAAAAUCCCAGAUACACACACUAUGGAAAAAGACAGCUGCCCCCACCUUCCCACAAUGGGUAGACAGAGUGGGAGAAAUACAUUCCAUGGAAGCCAUGACUGCAGCCCUUCAGGGCCGCACAGAAAAGUGUAAUCUGACGUGGACCCCCUGGCUCAUGUACCUUGCGG